rfam:Schistosoma mansoni strain Puerto Rico chromosome 6, complete genome
AUCCAACUGACGAGUCCCAAACAGGACGAAACAAGCGUACUGGAU